UCAGGAUGAACGCUAGCUACGGGCUUAACACAUGCAAGUCGAGGGGCAGCAGAUCGAUAGCUUGCUAUUGAUGCUGGCGACCGGCGCACGGGUGAGUAACGCGUAUCCAACCUUCCCCAUAGUAGAGGAUAGCCCGGCGAAAGUCGGAUUAAUACUCUAUGUUGUGUCAUGAGGACAUCUGAAUAACACUAAAGAUUUAUCGCUAUGGGAUGGGGAUGCGUCUGAUUAGCUUGUCGGCGGGUAACGGCCCACCGAGGCGACGAUCAGUAGGGGUUCUGAGAGGAAGGUCCCCCACAUUGGUACUGAGACACGGACCAAACUCCUACGGGAGGCAGCAGUGAGGAAUAUUGGUCAAUGGACGAGAGUCUGAACCAGCCAAGUAAGCGUGCAGGAUGACUGCCCUACGGGUUGUAGACUGCUUUUCCCCGGGAAGAAUAAGCCCCUCGUGAGGGGUGAUGCCGGUACCGGGGGAAUAAGGAUCGGCUAACUCCGUGCCAGCCGCCGC
rnacentral:rRNA from 1 species